GUCAGCUUCCUCGGGGAAAGUCAUGCCGUACAGUAUCUCGAUUGAGUUUCUUUAUAUAGCAGAUAAUUUCAGAUAAUUUCACUCUGCUUGUUGUUGGGUGUGGAGUAAAUAUCGAAAACAAAGCUGUAACACUGGGGGUGGAGUUCCUCUUGAACUACUGAGGGAUCAAAACCAACUUUCAAGACCUCCAUCGCCUUGGGCUGACGUUAUAAAUAUCCCUGUUGGUUGCUAGGAAGGAAUUGGAAGAGAGCGGUGGAUGUAUCUUCACAGCUGAAGGACAACAGCUUCUGCACAUGGCCUUGGUACUCGUCUCUCGUGUAAAGCCCCUUGCCGAUAUCUGCCUGAUGUUUGCACCUAUUUGUGGGAAGGCAGUGUUUAUAGAAUGCAAAACUGUGUGAUUUUAUCUUCCAUCUCGGCUCCUCCUGUGUCACAAACAACAAACGAAGCACGCCCAUGAUGUUGCUGAACUUAUGAUCUCUUUGGGAAUUUUAAAUCCCUCUGAGUGGGCUCUGGGUCCAUUCCAGGCAAGACCACUUCUGUAUGCGAAUGCUGAAAAUCGAACAGUACAGCUGCAAAAAACACACUUAGCUCCAGAAGUCUCACUUUCAAGCUUCUAUCAGGCGCAGGUUACAAGCAGCAAACAUAGCCUCCGAUGAGACAGUAGCUCCUUCAUUUGGAUCUUUCGUGCUUGGUGACCCAGGAGCAUGUCUGCUGGAAUGUCGGUGAAGUUAUGUCAUGCCCCCGCCUCGUUCUAAACUGACUGGCUGCAGAGUCAGUCACAAGAGCUGGUGGAGGUGGUGACGUAGUGGUACUGUCAAGUGAUGAGUUGAGCUAGAGGCCAUGUUGAUAUCCUGGGGAUAUGGUUCAAAUCCCACCAUGGCUGAUGGCCAAAUUCAAUAAAAGUCUGGAAUAUUUAAGAAAUAAACAAA